AUAUUAAUACUGCUGUAGUUAAAACGCCCGUAGUAAACCUAAGAGUGUGUAUGUAGUAAUUAGUCUUGCCGGGAGAUGGUUGGGAAGAGUUUAUAACUCUUUCUUGCCUACUUCUGGUAGACUUCAUCUGGGCUGGACCUCUGGUCCUCGUUCGGAAGUUGCUGCGUAUAUACUUGUCCACGGUUCAUCCGUGAGGCCCCUUUGGGUUGCAACUGUAAAUAAAUCGUUGUGCUUAAAGCGGGCUAUGAAACUCUGCCAGAGCGAUUUAGCAUGGGACUGCAGAGUAGCUGUAUUUGAGUGAAGUCUGGAUUUCGGUUUGGAUGUAGCUUGGUACAGCGCUUGUAAUGGAGCUCAGGGUGAGGCCCCGGGUACCAUGAGGCUAGAGGUGAAAUUCUGAGACCCUCAUGUGACCAACUAAGGCGAAAGCUGUCGUGGGCCACCACAAGCUCGUCUAUCAGGGACGAAAGUUAGGUGAUCGAAGACGAUUAGAUACCGUCGUAGUCCUAACUAUAAACGAUACCAACCGAGUAUUUGGGAAGACACUAUCCCAGCGAUCUUCUCAGAACUCAAGGGAAACCUUAAGUCUUUGGGUUCUGGGGGGAGUAUAGUCGCAAGACCGAAACU
rnacentral:rRNA from 1 species